GAGUCUCUGCCAUUCUCAAAAAUUAUUCAAGAGGUAGCUGAUGGGGAGUUCCUGUUGUGGCUCAGUGCAUUAAGAACCUGACUCGUGUUCAUGGGAUGCUGGUUCAGUCCCCGGCCUCAUGUAGUGAGUUAAAGCUCCAGAGUCGCGGCAAGCUGCAGUGUAGGUCACAGACGCAGCGAGGAAGGAUCAUGUGGCUGUGGCUGUGGUGCAGGCCUCUGUUGCAUCUCUUAUUCCACCCCUAGCCCAGGAACUUCCAUGUAUUCCAGCUGUGGCCCUAGAAAGAAAAGCGUGGUAGCCGAUGGGAGUAAAUUGGUUACUGAAAAAUUGAGGUAAGGUUGGAGCUAUACUAGAAACUAGAAAAAAAGGAAAACAAAAUUAUGAGAUGCUUAUCACCCGAAUGUGUUCUUUACUCUAAACUGGGGUGUGAUUACUUUUGCAAAUCACCACUGGACAAUGUAGAAAUAUCCUUGAAACAGGGAAGGUUAAUAAUGCAUCAAGCUAAUAUUCUUUCGCACGUACAUUGUACCACAUGAUGAACUGCAUUAAUCCUAAUUCUCCGUAUCCCAGCCAGCUAUUUAUCUUUUCUCUUUAAUGAUAACCAUUCUAACAGGUCUGAAUGUUUAAUUUUUGCUAUUGAGUUUUAUGAGUUCCUUAUAUAUGUCAAAUCUUAACCCUUUAUUUUAUAUGUAUAUAUUAUGCACACACACACACACACACACACACACACACACACAUGGUUUGGCUAUAUUUUCUCCCGUUUAGUAGGUUGUCUGUUUAUUUUGUUGAUUGUGUCUUUUGCUGUGCAGGAGUUUUUUAGUUUGAAUUAGUUCCACUUAUUAUUAUUUAUUUUUUUAUUGCUUGUGAUUUUGGUGUCAUAUCCAAAAAAAAUCAUUGUCAAGAUGUAUAUAAAAGAUUUUUUCCAAUGUUUUCUUUCUUUCUUUCUCCCUUUCUUUCUUUCUUUUCUUCCUUCCUUCCUUCUUUUCUUUUCUUUUCUUUCUUUUCCUUCUUUUCCUUCUUUUCUUUCUUCCCUCCCUUCUCUCCCUUCCCUCUCCCUCCCCACCCCUCUCCUUUCCUUUCCAUGUCCAGGGUGUGCAGAGUUUCCAGGCCAGGGAUCAUACACCAGCCACAGCAGUGACCAUGCUGAGUACUUAACUGCUAGUUCACCAGGGAACUCCUCACUAUGUUUUCUUCUAAGAGUUUUACAUAAGUUUUUUACAGUUUCGUCUUCCGUUUAAAUCCUUAAUCCAUUUUGAGUUAAUUUUUUUAAGUGAUAGAAGUUAGAAUUUCAGUUUCAUUUUUUGGCAUGUGAAUGUUCAGUUUUCCUAGCACCAGUUAUUGUAGACAAUAGCCUUUCCCUACUGAGUAUUUUUGGCCCUUUCAUCAAAUAUUUAUUGAUCAUGCA
rnacentral:lncRNA from 1 species